rnacentral:tRNA from 1 species
UCAAAAACAGUUUUGGAAAAUACUAACUUUGGAAGUUAGUGGCUGGUGUUAAAUCAUUUUUGAA